AACCCUAAGAAUUUAAACGCCCCUUUUCUCAUAUAUUUUGUCUUAAGCCAACAAAACUUUAUAGCCUCCGCCUAAUUAGAACCCCAAACACCUCAUCGGAAAUCAAAUCAUCAUCUUCUCCUCAUCGUAUACCUAUCAUCGCCAUAAUCCAAUCCAUAGAUCUAGCACCGGCCAGUCGAGGCAAAUUUUUCAAUACUGGAGGAACUAAACUCACGUAUUUAAGGAGAAAAACGACCUUUUCGAACAUGUAGAGUUUCUUAAAGAGUUCUAAAAUUUUCAAGAAGUUAUAUGGAAGAUUCAGCAUGAUUAUGGUGCGCUCUACUGGUGGCAACGGUUUUCUAAUCAAAGGAAGGACAUAUCCAUGUUUAUAUUUUGAAAUUAGAACGUGGCUUGAACCUAGAUCAUGGGGCAUAAAUGUAUGGAGCAAAAGAACAUGGGGCAGAAAUGUAUGGAGCAAAACCACCAGCAGGAAAACUGCCAAUAAUUGCUCUGAACCGCCAUGGGAGCGGUUAUUUUUGUGAGUUUAAACGGACAGGAUUUCAUCACAGCAAGAUCCAAGGGCUAAGAAUGAUUUUGUAGUUGGUUGGACUUAAUGUGUAUAUAUAUAAUUAUUAUAGUUACACGUGGCAAGUUUUCAAUGAGUCUAGUUAAUUCACAUGAAUAUCAGUUAUUUUUUUAAUGAA